rnacentral:lncRNA from 1 species
GGUUUGCGACUGGAUGCUAAUGUCACUGACUAGUUUUCAGCCUACCAUCCAGAAGUAACAUGUUCCCAGCUUUGGAAACGCACCUAAAGCAGACUAUUCCUGAUCCUUAUGAAGACUUUAUGUACCGUCACCUCCAAUAUUAUGGCUACUUUAAAGGAUCUCGCUCUGUCACUCAGGCUGGAGGGCAGUGGCCUCCACAUCCCAGGCUCAAGCAACCCUCCCAGCCUUUGGCUAUCAUUUUCUGAGUUCCAACACAGCCCUUGUAGCUUCAGAAUCUUUCUGCCUGCCAAGUCCUUUCUCACUCCACUACACCAGGCUGCUUCUCAAGUCUCCUCUUCACAUCCAUUUCCUCAGCUGUAAGCUCAGAGAGGCAGUUUACCAAACUCUGCUACGCAUCAGCAUGUUCGGAAGAAUAACCCUCAAUGCCUGUUGAAUGGCUCUCUUGGGGAAAAAGAUGAUUUGAUACCAGACACCCUGCAAAAGGAGAAGCUUCUAUGGCCUAUCAGUUUAUCUUCAGCUGUGCACAGACAGAUAGAAGCCAUCAACAGAG